rnacentral:rRNA from 1 species
GGGGAAUAUUGCAUAAUGGGCGAAAGCCUGAUGCAGCAACGCCGCGUGAGUGAUGAAGGUCUUCGGAUUGUAAAGCUCUGUCUUUUGGGACGAUAAUGACGGUACCAAAGGAGGAAGCCACGGCUAACUACGUGCCAGCAGCCGCGGUAAUACGUAGGUGGCGAGCGUUGUCCGGAUUUACUGGGCGUAAAGGGUGCGUAGGCGGAUGUUUAAGUGAGAUGUGAAAUACCCGGGCUUAACUUGGGUGCUGCAUUUCAAACUGGAUAUCUAGAGUGCAGGAGAGGAGAAUGGAAUUCCUAGUGUAGCGGUGAAAUGCGUAGAGAUUAGGAAGAACACCAGUGGCGAAGGCGAUUCUCUGGACUGUAACUGACGCUGAGGCACGAAAGCGUGGGGAGCAAAC